rnacentral:rRNA from 1 species
UACGGAGGGUGCAAGCGUUAUCCGGAUUUAUUGGGCGUAAAGCGUCCGCAGGCGGUUUUUCAAGUCUGCUGUUAAAGCGCGAGGCUUAACUUCGUACAGGCAGUGGAAACUGGAAGACUUGAGUAUGGUAGGGGUAGCGGGAAUUCCCAGUGUAGCGGUGAAAUGCGUAGAUAUUGGGAAGAACACCAGCGGCGAAAGCGCGCUACUGGGCCAUUACUGACACUCAUGGACGAAAGCUAGGGGAGCGAAAGGG